rnacentral:rRNA from 1 species
UACGAAGGGGGACUAGCGUUGUUCGGAAUCACUGGGCGUAAAGCGCACGUAGGCGGGUUCUUAAGUCAGGGGUGAAAUCCCGAGGCUCAACCUCGGAACUGCCUUUGAUACUGGGAAUCUUGAGUUCGGGAGAGGUGAGUGGAAUUGCGAGUGUAGAGGUGAAAUUCGUAGAUAUUCGCAAGAACACCAGUGGCGAAGGCGGCUCACUGGCCCGAUACUGACGCUGAGGUGCGAAAGCGUGGGGAGCAAACAGG